rnacentral:rRNA from 1 species
AACUUUCAACAACGGAUCUCUUGGUUCUGGCAUCGAUGAAGAACGCAGCGAAAUGCGAUAAGUAAUGUGAAUUGCAGAAUUCAGUGAAUCAUCGAAUCUUUGAACGCACAUUGCGCACCCUUGGUAUUCCGAGGGGCAUGCCUGUUCGAGCGUCAUUU